UACGGAGGGUGCAAGCGUUAUUCGGAAUUACUGGGCGUAAAGCGCGUGUAGGCGGUCCUGCAAGUCUGAUGUGAAAGCCCCGGGCUUAACCCGGGAAGUGCAUUGGAAACUGCAGGUCUUGAGUACUGGAGAGGAUGGGGGAAUUCCCGGUGUAGAGGUGAAAUUCGUAGAGAUCGGGAGGAAUAUCAGUGGCGAAGGCGCCCAUCUGGACGGUAACUGACGCUGAGACGCGAAAGCGUGGGGAGCAAACAGG
rnacentral:rRNA from 1 species